rnacentral:lncRNA from 1 species
GAAAAUACAUUUGUCCUUUAAGAAAUCAUUCUUGAAAGAGCUGAGACUGUCCCAGAUUUGGUGGAGGGGGGCAAGUUAUAAAAACUGGAGGUUGCUAAGCACUAUUAUAAUACAAAUUUUAGUCACACAAGACACAAAUGAGGAAGUAAAACUUUAAGAGGAGCUAUUUUAGUCUUUCUCCCCAAUAGGUAAGCUGACAGGGUAACUUCUGAUUGGGAAAAGACAGUAAUUUAAGGUUGUAAUUUCUCAUGCCUUCACUGCCCUAUUUGACAAAACCAAAAUAGAGAAGAGGGAUAAGAAACCAGCUAGAACAACCAUGGUCUUUCCCUUUUAUUCAUUUAACAACCUAAAAAGGGUAAAUAUGUAUGGCCAAGGAAGAGAAAAACUGGAAUUACCAAACAAACACUGGAAAGGGCUUUUGACACUGAGUUAGUUGGAGAGCUGUGUACUCUGAGCAAAGGAAUAUUGGAUUAGGAGGAAGCUGCAUUGUUGGAGAAAUUUCUACUCAUCAGUAAGCUUGUUUCUCUGUAGGUAGGUCAUGACUAUUUCCA